UACACUCCUGCGGGAGGCAGCAGUGGGGAAUAUUGCACAAUGGGCGCAAGCCUGAUGCAGCCAUGCCGCGUGUAUGAAGAAGGCCUUCGGGUUGUAAAGUACUUUCAGCGGGGAGGAAGGCGAUAAGGUUAAUAACCUUGUCGAUUGACGUUACCCGCAGAAGAAGCACCGGCUAACUCCGUGCCAGCAGCCGCGGUAAUACGGAGGGUGCAAGCGUUAAUCGGAAUUACUGGGCGUAAAGCGCACGCAGGCGGUCUGUCAAGUCGGAUGUGAAAUCCCCGGGCUCAACCUGGGAACUGCAUUCGAAACUGGCAGGCUAGAGUCUUGUAGAGGGGGGUAGAAUUCCAGGUGUAGCGGUGAAAUGCGUAGAGAUCUGGAGGAAUACCGGUGGCGAAGGCGGCCCCCUGGACAAAGACUGACGCUCAGGUGCGAAAGCGUGGGGAGCAAACAGGAUUAGAUACCCUUGUAGUCCCAUGAU
rnacentral:rRNA from 1 species